GGCACUAUGGCCGAGUGGUUAAGGCGAGAGACUCGAAUAAUCUCUUGGGCUCUGCCCGCGCUGGUUCAAAUCCUGCUGGUGUCG
rnacentral:tRNA from 2 species